rnacentral:rRNA from 1 species
CACGUAGGUAAUCUACCUUUGGAUGGGGAAUAACAAUCGGAAACGGUUGCUAAUACCGCAUAAUGCAGCGGCACCUAAUGGUGACAGUUGUUAAAGCGGGGGAUCGAAAGACCUCGCGUCUAAAGAGGAGCCUGCGGCGGAUUAGCUAGUUGGUAAGGUAAUGGCUUACCAAGGCUACGAUCCGUAACCGGCCUGAGAGGGCGGUCGGUCACACUGACACUGACAUACGGGUCAG